UGGCGGACGGGUGAGUAAUGUCUGGGAAACUGCCUGAUGGAGGGGGAGUAACUACUGGAAACGGUAGCUAAUACCGCAUAACGUCGCAAGACCAAAGAGGGGGGACCUUCGGGCCUCUUGCCAUCGGAUGUGCCCAGAUGGGAUUAGCUAGUAGGUGGGGUAACGGCUCACCUAGGCGACGAUCCCUAGCUGGUCUGAGAGGAUGACCAGCCACACUGGAACUGAGACACGGUCCAGACUCCUACGGGAGGCAGCAUG
rnacentral:rRNA from 1 species